AUUGAACGCUGGCGGCAUGCCUUACACAUGCAAGUCGAACGGUAACAGGUCUUCGGAUGCUGACGAGUGGCGAACGGGUGAGUAAUGCAUCGGAACGUGCCCAGUAGUGGGGGAUAGCCCGGCGAAAGCCGGAUUAAUACCGCAUACGACUCGAGGGCGAACGGGGGGGAUCGCAAGACCUCUCGCUAUUGGAGCGGCCGAUGGCAGUGUAGUUAGUGGGUGGGGUACAGGCCUACCAAGGCAACGCUCUGUAGUUGGUCUGAGAGGACGACCAGCCACACUGGAACUGAGACACGGCCGAGACUCCUACGGGAGGCAGCAGUGGGGAAUUUUGGACAAUGGGCGCAAGCCUGAUCCAGCAAUGCCGCGUGCAGGAAGAAGGCCUUCGGGUUGUAAACUGCUUUUGUCAGGGAAGACAUCUUCUGGGUUAAUACCUCGGGAGGAUGACGGUACCUGAAGAAUAAGCACCGGCUAACUACGUGCCAGCCGCCGCUGUAA
rnacentral:rRNA from 1 species